GUUUAGUUAGUUUUAUAUAAAAUAUGGUUUUUGUAAUACCAAGCAAUCUAAUAGGUACUAAGCU
rnacentral:tRNA from 1 species